UGUUAUGUAUGUUUAUGUAAGAGAAAGACCAGGGAGGCCCAUUCUACGCCCCCCUGGCACUAUUGGAAAUGAGUUAAGGGCUAUUGGUGACAAGUUCACCCUUGAUGUGAUAUGGUUGUGAUGUGAUGCAUUUCAUGUAAGCAUGAAUUAAAAUAUGAUGUUUGUAUUAUUCUGCUCAUUGGGCUCUAGUAGCUCACCCCUCUCCCUUAACCCCCCAGGUUUGCAGGUACG
rnacentral:lncRNA from 1 species